GACGAACGCUGGCGGCGUGCUUAACACAUGCCAGUCGAACGGGAUUUAGUAAACAGAAACCUCGGUGGAAGAUUACUAAUGAGAGUGGCGAACGGGUGAGUAACGCGUGAGCAACCUGCCUAUGACAGUGGGAUAGCCUCGGGAAACCGGGAUUAAUACCGCAUAAAAUCGUAGAAACACAUGUUUUAACGGUCAAAGAUUUAUCGGUCAUAGAUGGGCUCGCGUCUGAUUAGCUAGUUGGUGAGAUAACAGCCCACCAAGGCGACGAUCAGUAGCCGGUGGGAGAGGAUGAACGGCCACAUUGGAACUGAGACACGGUCCAAACUCCUACGGGAGGCAGCAGUGGGGAAUAUUGCACAAUGGGGGAAACCCUGAUGCAGCGACGCCGCGUGAACGAAGAAGGUAUUCGUAUCGUAAAGUUCUGUCCUAUGGGAAGAUAAUGACAGUACCAUAGAAGAAAGCUCCGGCUAAAUACGUG
rnacentral:rRNA from 1 species